UGAUGACAAUUUCUCCGGAAUCUCUGCACUAUGUUGAUGACUUUUUGAACCCUUUUCCAGCUGAUGACUGCACAGAUCAGU